AGAGACUCCUUCUUGAGAUUAACGUCGUUACGAAUCGUGACGGCUUUCUGGUGUUCAACGUAAGGAGUCGGUUGAGCCAUCAUGUGACCAGCAUAAGGGUAUCUGGCCAUCGCCACGGGAGCCCAAGAGUGGUUGUGGUAAGGAUGCGGUGGAUGAUGUUGGAGGUGGUGGUCGUACGGCGGAAGAGGCAUGGCUCCCGGGGGAGGAUGGUGGUAGUAAGAAGCAGGGUACUGGUAAACCGGAUUAGGAUUAGGAUUAGGAUAGGGAGUAACGGCAGCGAAAACGAUGGGAUUAGCUUGGAUUUCUGUAGGUAGAGGUGGUGGAGGAAGAGAAGAAGAAGGAGGAGGAGGAGGUGGUGGUGGAGCCGCCGUAUGGUUUCGCCGUCGACGGCGUCUACCUUCACCACCGCUGCUGCUAAUGUUUCCCAUAUGUUAUUGGCGUUAAACCCAGAUCAAAAAGACAAGAUUUUUUGGUGACCCAAAUGAUCAAAUCUCAGAAAAUUGCUAAAUUUGUGGGUGGAUCGGAGAUUCUGGGGAUUAAUAUUGAGUGAAAUGUAAGGAAUUACGAAAAGCAAAAGCAGAGAGAGUUUAGAUGAAUUAAGAAAGAAAGAAAAUAAAAAGAG
rnacentral:lncRNA from 1 species